GAUGAACGCUGGCGGCGUGCUUAACACAUGCAAGUCGAACGGGAAACCUUUUAAUGAGGCUUCGGCAGAUUUGGCUGGUUUCUAGUGGCGGACGGGUGAGUAACGCGUGGGUAACCUGCCUUAUACAGGGGGAUAACAGUCAGAAAUGACUGCUAAUACUGCAUAAGCGGACAGGACCGCAUGGUCCGGUGUGAAAGACUCCGGUGGGAUAAGAUGGACCCGAGUUGGAUUCGCUUGUUGGUGGGGUAACGGCUCACCACGGCGACGAUCCAUAGCCGGGGUGAGAGGGUGAACGGACACACUGGGACUGGGACACAGCCCAGACUCCUACGGGAUGCAGCAGUGGGGAAUACUGCAAAAUGGGGGAAACCCUGAUGCAGCGACGCCGCGAGAAGGAAGAAGUAACUCGGUAUGUAAACUUCUAUCAGCAGGGAAGAUAGUGACGGUACCUGACUAAGAAGCCCCGGCUAACUACGUG
rnacentral:rRNA from 1 species